UGAUCAUAUUCUUCGAUCAAAGAUUAAGCCAUGCAUGUGAAGGAUAAACAGUUAUCAGUGAACCUGCGUAUGGCUCAUUAUAUGAAUUAUCACUUCCCCCAGCAACUUUUCAACUGGAUAACCGUUGUAAUUCAAGGGCCAAUACAUGCAUCCAAGCUGGUUUCGCAAGAGACUAGUGCAUUUGUUAGCCUCAAACCAACAUUUCGUGGUGAAUCAUGACAAAUUGCGGACCCUCAUGUUGCAAAAGACGGAGGGCGACUGGGUCAGGUCUUUCCCCUAUCAGGUAUCGUUGGCAAUGUCUUGAAUUGUCAAGCCUUUAACGGGUGACGUAAAAUUAGGGUUUGGUUACGGAGAAGGAGCCUGAGAGACGGCUACUACAUCUAAGGAAGGCAGCAGGCGCGAAAAUUCUCCAAUGCUCAUCAACGAAGGAGCGAGAGAGUGACGAUCAAUAACAAUGUGUGACUCUUUAUGGGUUAUGCAAUUGGAAUGACUACAAUUUAAAACAUUUAAGAAGGAUCAAUUG
rnacentral:rRNA from 1 species